AUUGAACGCUGGCGGCAUGCCUUACACAUGCAAGUCGAACGGCAGCACGGGAGCAAUCCUGGUGGCGAGUGGCGAACGGGUGAGUAAUAUAUCGGAACGUGCCCAGUCGUGGGGGAUAACGUAGCGAAAGCUACGCUAAUACCGCAUACGAUCUAUGGAUGAAAGCGGGGGAUCGCAAGACCUCGCGCGAUUGGAGCGGCCGAUAUCAGAUUAGGUAGUUGGUGAGGUAAAGGCUCACCAAGCCGACGAUCUGUAGCUGGUCUGAGAGGACGACCAGCCACACUGGGACUGAGACACGGCCCAGACUCCUACGGGAGGCAGCAGUGGGGAAUUUUGGGACAAUGGGCGCAAGCCUGAUCCAGCAAUGCCGCGUGCAGGAUGAAGGCCUC
rnacentral:rRNA from 1 species